AAAAAACCCAACCCGGUGAAAAGAAACUACACUCUAUGAGGAAGACACCAUCACCAUGGGUGCAAGCAGGAAGAAUGCUAAAACCAUCACUGUCUUGCCCUCCAGAGCUCGGAUCUCUGGCUUUCCUGACCUUCCCCUGGGGAAGCUGAGGGGCCUGCUGGUCACAGGACCCCUGGUGACCAUGUUCAGGUCUGGCCAGAAAGAAGAUGGGCAUGGAAACUGGGGCAGUGUCAAGCGGAAGCUACUUCGUCCAGGAGGGAUGAAAGGGACAGAGGCUGCUUCUCUUGGAGAAAAGAAGACUUGAGGCUGCCCACUGCCCACCACACUAUGGCCAAUGAAUUCUCGCCAGGUGGAAUGGACUCUAGCCAGCUUGGAGAAGCCUGUGUGCAAAGCCAUUCUCAACUUCCCAAGGUACCUCCAUCGCCCCCACCCCGAGUGUUUCUGGGUUGCCUAAACAUUUUGAAUGCUCGUGGCAUCAAACCCUGGUCCCGCCUUGUCCCCACUGCCUGAUACACAACACCUGCGGAUGCCACUCUGUGUUUUUGGUGAUUGACAGCCUGCAGAGUGUGUUUCCACACCUGACUGACACACAGUGCCCGGGGCCUCCACAGCCUGAUGCCCUCCCUGUGUGGGGUGCUCCCUGUCGUCACUGGACAGGUGGAGUGGGACAUGUAUCCCGGGUCCUGGAGAAGCCUGGCUCUCUUGUUGCCUUCCUCCUGGGAGUCCCCUUCCCACGGCAGCCUCUGACACAGCUGGACCCGGCUACAUGGCCCACCCUGGUCUAGGGGCCUUUCUUUUGUGUUCUUUUUUCUCCUUCUUUCUUUGCAGGUGCAUGUGUCUGAAUUCCGAGAAGUUUCCUAUGUGUCGGGGUCUAGGCUCCCUCCCCACCCUGGGCCCCUCCCGGGUGUCUGGUUUGACGUGGCCUCCCAGGACUGACACCGAUGUUCCAGGCAGGGGAAACAAUGGCAGAGGCCUCGUUGGCCGUACAGACGCCGGCAUCCCCACCCACAGUGGGUUUUGAUGGACUCUGGGCGCUAGUGAGGUGUCUGUCUGUGUUCCUCACUGUAGCACAUGGAACCGAAAACUGCUCUGAAAAAUAGUCUAUGUAAAAAAGAAAAGGUUCUGCAGCCUAUGUGCAUGUCGCUCCUCAGCCUGCAGCUGCGUCCGCACGCAGUGGAAGGUGAGCCUGGCCUCUUCAUGGACGACCCACUCAAGACUCAGGGCACUGGCCUCCCACCGUGUCCAUACCCGAGGCUGCACUGGAGCCGCUAAAUCCUGUGUCCCUCUCCCCAUGUCCUUACUCCUCUCUUUCCUCUCCCCCUCCUUUUUGAUUAGCCCUGUUUUAGGGGCCAGAUGUAGGCCUUGGGUUAUCCUUACUGAUAUUCACCUUGUAAAAUGAGACUAACAUAUGUAUUACACUAAUUGUACAUCUCUCUCUCUCUCUCUCUCUCUCUCUCUGUGUGUGUGUGUGUGUUUUAAAUCAACCACAAAUAGCAGCAAUGUCUUUGUCUGGGUUAUUAAUCAGGAAGAGAAGUCUUCUUCUAUGAGCUACAGAAACAUACCUUUUAUGAACUACAGAAAUUGGCCAGGCACCUCUGCUGACACCUGGACUAGCUGUCUACACCACCACACACCACAUCUGGGCAAGAGCCCUUGGUGUGCUGCCAUAAGGCUGCUGGCUGUGAGCCCACAGAGGAGCCGGGUGGAUGGUACUGGGGCACAAGAGCAUCGAGGGUCCCUUUUGUCCAGAUGCUGCAGACCACUGUGGGCCACGUGUCCUACAGCUGACACUGCCUCGGCCCCGUUCUCCCAGGUCCUCACUCUAACUCAGCCCUCAGGGG
rnacentral:lncRNA from 1 species